GACGAACGCUGGCGGCGUGCUUAACACAUGCAAGUCGAACGAAGAGCGAUGGAUUGUUGCUUCUAUCAGUCUUAGAGGCGCACGGGUGAGUAACGCGUAAUCAACCUGCCCUUCAGAGGGGGACAACAGUUGGAAACGACUGCUAAUACCGCAUACGAUCUAACCUCGGCAUCGAGGAUAGAUGUAAGGUGGGCUCUACAUGUAAGCCAUCACUGCAGGAGGGGAUUGCGUCUGCUUAGCUAGUUGGAGGGGUAACGGCCCACCAAGGCGAUGAUCAGUAGCCGGUCUGAGAGGAUGGACGGCCACAUGGGGAGUGGGACACGGCCCAGACGCCUACGGGAGGCAGCAGUGGGGAAUCUGCCGCAAUGGACGAAAGUCUGACGGAGCAACGCCGCGUGAGUGAUGACGGCCUUCGGGUUGUAAAGCUCGGUUAAUCGGGACGAAAGGCCUUCUUGCGAAUAGUUAGAAGGAUUGACGGUACCGGAAUAGAAAGCCACGGCUAACUACGUG
rnacentral:rRNA from 1 species